UAGUCCAUGCCGUAAACGUUGGGCACUAGGUGUGGGGUCUAUUCAACGGUCUCCGUGUCGUAGCUAACGCAUUAAGUGCCCCGCCUGGGGAGUACGGCCGCAAGGCUAAAACUCAAAGGAAUUGACGGGGCCCGCACAAGCGGCGGAGCAUGUUGCUUAAUUCGAGGCAACGCGAAGAACCUUACCUGGGUUUGACAUAUAUAGGACCGCCAUAGAGAUAUGGCUUCUUUUAGUCUAUAUACAGGUGGUGCAUGGCUGUCGUCAGCUCGUGUCGUGAGAUGUUGGGUUAAGUCCCGCAACGAGCGCAACCCUCGUCCUGUGUUGCCAGCAUUUAGUUGGGGACUCACAGGAGACUGCCGUGGUUAACACGGAGGAAGGUGGGGAUGAGGUCAAGUCAUCAUGCCCCUUACAUCCAGGGGCUGCAAACAUGCUACAAUGGCCGGUACAACGGGCUGCUAUACCGCGAGGUAAAGCGAAUCCCUU
rnacentral:rRNA from 1 species